GACGAACGCUGGCGGCGUGCUUAACACAUGCAAGUCGAACGGAAAGGCCCGCUUGCGGGUACUCGAGUGGCGAACGGGUGAGUAACACGUGGGUAACCUGCCCUCAGCUUUGGGAUAACUUCCGGAAACGGGUGCUAAUACCGAAUAUUGACCUUGCGCCGCAUGGUGUGGGGUUGAAAGUUUUUUCGGCUGGGGAUGGGCCCGCGGCCUAUCAGCUUGUUGGUGGGGUGAUGGCCUACCAAGGCGACGACGGGUAGCCGGCCUGAGAGGGCGACCGGCCACACUGGAACUGAGACACGGUCCAGACUCCUACGGGAGGCAGCAGUGGGGAAUAUUGCGCAAUGGGCGGAAGCCUGACGCAGCGACGCCGCGUGAGGGAUGACGGCCUUCGGGUUGUAAACCUCUUUCGACAGGGACGAAUUCAGACGGUACCUGUAGAAGAAGCACCGGCCAACUACGUGCCAGCAGCCGCAGUAACA
rnacentral:rRNA from 1 species